GUUUGAUCCUGGCUCAGGAUGAACGCUAGCGGCAGGCCUAAUACAUGCAAGUCGGACGGGAUUGGAGAGCUUGCUUUCCAUGAGAGUGGCGCACGGGUGCGUAACACGUAUGUAACCUACCCAUAUCAGGGGGAUAGCCUCUCGAAAGAGAGAUUAAGCCCGCAUAACAUGAAGACACAGCAUUGUGAUUUCAUCAAAUAUUUAUAGGAUAUGGAUGGGCAUGCGGAACAUUAGCUAGUUGGUAAGGUAAUGGCUUACCAAGGCUACGAUGUUUAGGGGAUCUGAGAGGAUGACCCCCCACACUGGUACUGAGACACGGACCAGACUCCUACGGGAGGCAGCAGUAAGGAAUAUUGGUCAAUGGGCGGAAGCCUGAACCAGCCAUGCCGCGUGCAGGAAGACGGCCCUACGGGUUGUAAACUGCUUUUGCAGGGGAAUAAACCUUCGUAUGUAUACGAAGCUGAAUGUACUCUGAGAAUAAGGAUCGGCUAACUCCGUGCCAGCAGCCGCGGUAAUACGGAGGAUCCAAGCGUUAUCCGGAUUUAUUGGGUUUAAAGGGUGCGUAGGCGGCUCAUUAAGUCAGGGGUGAAAGACGGUAGCUUAACUAUCGCAGUGCCUUUGAUACUGAUGAGCUUGAAUGUAGUUGAGGUAGGCGGAAUGUGACAAGUAGCGGUGAAAUGCAUAGAUAUGUCACAGAACACCAAUUGCGAAGGCAGCUUACUAAAGUAUGAUUGACGCUGAGGCACGAAAGCGUGGGGAUCAAACAGGAUUAGAUACCCUGGUAGUCCACGCCCUAAACGAUGAAUACUCGAUGUUGGCGAUAUACAGUCAGCGUCAAAGCGAAAGCGUUAAGUAUUCCACCUGGGGAGUACGCCCGCAAGGGUGAAACUCAAAGGAAUUGACGGGGGCCCGCACAAGCGGAGGAGCAUGUGGUUUAAUUCGAUGAUACGCGAGGAACCUUACCCGGGCUUGAAAGUUAGUGAAUGGAGCAGAGACGCUCCAGUCCUUCGGGACACGAAACUAGUGCUGCAUGGCUGUCGUCAGCUUG
rnacentral:rRNA from 1 species